rnacentral:rRNA from 1 species
CAGCCGCCGCGGUAAUACAGAGGGUGCGAGCGUUAAUCGGAUUUACUGGGCGUAAAGCGUGCGUAGGCGGCUUUUUAAGUCGGAUGUGAAAUCCCUGAGCUUAACUUAGGAAUUGCAUUCGAUACUGGGAAGCUAGAGUAUGGGAGAGGAUGGUAGAAUUCCAGGUGUAGCGGUGAAAUGCGUAGAGAUCUGGAGGAAUACCGAUGGCGAAGGCAGCCAUCUGGCCUAAUACUGACGCUGAGGUACGAAAGCAUGGGGAGCAAACAGGAUUAGAUACCCCAGUAGUCCCUGUCCUUAUACA